rnacentral:rRNA from 1 species
AGUGAACGCUGGCGGCGUGCCUAAUACAUGCAAGUCGAACGGAGUGGCGCACGGGGGAGUAAUAUAUAGCUAACUUGCCCCUUGCGGGAGGACAAAGGUUAGAAUUGCCUGCUAAUAUCCCAUAGCAAGGGAUGAGACUAAACCGUACCAGCUAGCCGGUGGGGUAACGGCCUACCGAGGCUAUGACGCGUAACUGGUCUGAGAGGAUGAUCAGUCAAAUUGGAACUGAGACACGGUCCAAACUCCUACGGGAGGCAGCAGUAGGGAAUAUUGCGCAAUGGGGGAAACCCUGACGCAGCAACGCCGCGUGGAGGAUGACACUUUUCGGAGCGUAAACUCCUUUUGUUAGGGAAGCGGUACCUAACGAAUAAGCACCGGCUAACUCCGUGCCAGCAGCCGCGGUAAUAC